rnacentral:rRNA from 1 species
GGGGGGCAAGCGUUGUUCGGAAUUACUGGGCGUAAAGGGCGCGCAGGCGGCCCGGCCAGUCCUACGUGAAAUCCCACAGCUCAACUGUGGAACUGCGUGGGAUACUGCCAGGCUUGAGUCCGGGAGAGGAGAGUGGAAUUCCCAGUGUAGCGGUGAAAUGCGUAGAUAUUGGGAGGAACACCGGUGGCGAAGGCGGCUCUCUGGACCGGCACUGACGCUGAGGCGCGAAAGCUAGGGGAGCAAACGGGGAUUAGAUACCCCGGUAGUCCUAGCCCUAAACGAUGAGCACUUUGUGUGGCGGGUAUCGACCCCUGCCGUGCAGAAGCUAACGCAUUAAGUGCUCCGCCUGGGGAUACGGUCGCAAGGCUG